GAUGAACGCUAGCGGCAGGCCUAAUACAUGCAAGCCGAACGGCAAGAACUUUAGCAAUAGAGUUCCUAGAGUGGCGUAAGGGUGCGUAACACGUAUGCAAUCUGCCCUCAACAGGAGGAUAGCUCCCCGAAAGGGGAAUUAAGACUCCAUAAGAUCAUUUUAUGGCAUCAUGAGAUGAUUAAACUACCAGGGGUUGAGGAUGAGCAUGCGCAUGAUUAGUUAGUUGGCGGGGUAACGGCCACCAAGACGAUGAUCAUUAGGGGAACUGAGAGGUUGACUCCCCACACUGGCACUGAGAUACGGGCC
rnacentral:rRNA from 1 species